GUUCUUGUGGCCUAGUGGUUAUGGCGUCUGCUUUACAUACCGUCGUGGAAAACGCAGAAGAUCCCCGGUUCGAUCCCGGGCGAGAACA